CCAUUAGAUGAUGAAGAGAUGAUCUCGUACAUCCUCAUCGACCUUGACAUUGAUUUCAACCCAGUCGUGCCGGCCAUAGUUGCACGAGUUGAACCUAUUACGGUCAAGGAGAUUUACUCUCAGCUUCUAAGCUUCGAAA